UACGUAGGGGGCUAGCGUUGUCCGGAAUCAUUGGGCGUAAAGAGCGUGUAGGCGGCCCGGUAAGUCCGCUGUGAAAGUCCAGGGCUCAACCCCUGGGAUGCCGGUGGAUACUGUCGGGCUCGAGUCCGGAAGAGGCGAGUGGAAUUCCUGGUGUAGCGGUGAAAUGCGCAGAUAUCAGGAGGAACACCAAUGGCGAAGGCAGCUCGCUGGGACGUGACUGACGCUGAGACGCGAAAGCGUGGGGAGCAAACAGG
rnacentral:rRNA from 1 species